UACGUAGGGUGCGAGCGUUGUCCGGAAUUACUGGGCGUAAAGAGCUCGUAGGUGGUUUGUCGCGUUGUUCGUGAAAUUCCCUGGCUUAACUGGGGGUGUGCGGGCGAUACGGGCAGACUGGAGUACUGCAGGGGAGACUGGAAUUCCUGGUGUAGCGGUGGAAUGCGCAGAUAUCAGGAGGAACACCGGUGGCGAAGGCGGCAUCCUGGACCGGUAUUGACGCUGAGGCGCGAAAGCUAGGGGAGCAAACGGG
rnacentral:rRNA from 1 species